rnacentral:rRNA from 1 species
AUUGAACGCUGGCGGCAGGCCUAACACAUGCAAGUCGAACGAGUGGCGGACGGGUGAGUAAUGUCUGGGAAACUGCCUGAUGGAGGGGGAUAACUACUGGAAACGGUAGCUAAUACCGCAUACCAUCAGAUGUGCCCAGAUGGGAUUAGCUAGUAGGGGGGGUAACGGCCAACCUCGGCGACGAUCCCUAGCUGGUCUGAGAGGAUGAUCAGUCUCACUGGAACUGAGACACGGGCCAGACUCCUACGGGAGGCAGCAGUGGGGAAUAUUGCACAAUGGGCGCAAGCUUGAUGCAGCCAUGCCGCGUGUAUGAAGAAGGCCUUCGGGUUGUAAAGUACUUUCAGCGGGGAGGCGUUACCCGCAGAAGAAGCACCGGCUAACUCCGUGCCAGCAGCCGCGGUAAUAC